CAAGCACUCUUUCAAUUCUUCCUUACACAGUUUAUAUUCUCUUAGUGCUUCUUUAGAUCUAGAUACUCUGAAUAUGGUGUCCAGUAUGUCCAGUUUAUCUUUUAUUUUUUUUGUUUCAUCAUUAUUUUCAAUGAUAUAUUUAUUUUUGUUUUUAUUAUUUCUUUUCUUUUCAGGAAACUCAACCUCGAACAAGUUUCUUAGCUGAUUGAAGAACACUUGAAAGCUUUUUUCUGCCGCUAAGGGGAUAUGAAUGACAUAAUCUGCGCAGAAUGAUCUCCCAUGUGCAAGUUCGAAGUACUUGUAUUACUAGGAUUGAAGUUGCAGACAACGUUAUCAACACAAGUCGAUGUGUCGACAGUUAUUCUUGAUGGUUCUUCGAAUUUAUGGUGACCAUUGUAGCAUCUGAAUAAAUCCAAUAAUUUA